rnacentral:rRNA from 1 species
UACGUAGGGGGCUAGCGUUGUCCGGAAUCAUUGGGCGUAAAGCGCGCGUAGACGGUUAUUUAAGUCGGAUGUGAAAGCCCCGGGCUCAACCUGGGAAUUGCAUUCGAGACUGAAUAGCUAGGGUACGGUAGAGGGAAGCGGAAUUUCCGGUGUAGCGGUGAAAUGCGUAGAUAUCGGAAGGAACAUCAGUGGCGAAAGCGGCUUCCUGGACCAGUACCGACGUUCAGGCACGAAAGCGUGGGGAGCAAACAGG